rnacentral:ncRNA from 1 species
UUAUUUUAAAGGCAAACCUGUUGAAAAGCAGGGGCGCAAAGCCAGAAGGGACUAAAGUCAGAAAGCUUGACCAUGUCAGCCGGUUGCCACU